GACGAACGCUGGCGGCGUGCUUAACACAUGCAAGUCGAACGGAAAGGCCCUGCUUUUGUGGGGUGCUCGAGUGGCGAACGGGUGAGUAACACGUGAGUAACCUGCCCUUGACUUUGGGAUAACUUCAGGAAACUGGGGCUAAUACCGGAUAGGAGCUCCUGCUGCAUGGUGGGGGUUGGAAAGUUUCGGCGGUUGGGGAUGGACUCGCGGCUUAUCAGCUUGUUGGUGGGGUAGUGGCUUACCAAGGCUUUGACGGGUAGCCGGCCUGAGAGGGUGACCGGCGACAUUGGGACUGAGAGACGGACCAGACUCCUACGGGAGGCAGCAGUGGGGAAUAUUGCACAAUGGGCGGAAGCCUGAUGCAGAAACGCCGCGUGCGGGAUGACGGCCUUCGGGUUGUAAACAGCUUUCGCCUGUGACGAAGCGUGAGUGACGGUAAUGGGUAAAGAAGCACCGGCUAACUACGUG
rnacentral:rRNA from 1 species